GUAGUCAUAUGCUUGUCUCAAAGAUUAAGCCAUGCAUGUCUAAGUAUAAGCAAUUAUACCGUGAAACUGCGAAUGGCUCAUUAAAUCAGUUAUCGUUUAUUUGAUAAUACCUUACUACUUGGAUAACCGUGGUAAUUCUAGAGCUAAUACAUGCUGAAAAUCCCGACUUCGGAAGGGAUGUGUUUAUUAGAUAAAAAACCAAUGCCCUUCGGGGCUUUUUGGUGAUUCAUGAUAACUUUACGGAUCGCAUAGCCUUGCGCUGGCGACGGUUCAUUCAAAUUUCUGCCCUAUCAACUUUCGAUGGUAAGGUAUUGGCUUACCAUGGUAUCAACGGGUAACGGGGAAU
rnacentral:rRNA from 1 species